ensembl:lncRNA
CAGUCUCCAGUAUGAGCAUGCUUUAAUUUUCCUUACUUUUGUCUUAACAUCAGCUGAAUGGAGUGUUCAUUUUGGUCAUUCAUUUUUGUUUUAUUAUUAUUAUUUUUAUUUAACUAAUAUUAAUUUAUUAAUAGCCUUCUCUGACCUUUUAUAAGAAUCUUUUCUACAUUCAACAUGGCACAGAGACAGAAGAGAGAUGGAACAUUUUCAUAUGCAGCAAAACAAUCCACAGACUCCAUUACAAGGUUUAGAUUCAUUGUGUUUGGAAGUGAUGAGGUUCUGAUAAAUGAAGCUUGUGACACUAUUGUUAGAUCAGCAGAUAGAAUGGAUAGCACUAAAUAUGGGACAUGUGAGUUUAGAGAGGCGUGUGUAAGCGGACGACAUGUCUCUGUAGUAAAAACUCCUGCUUAUGGGCUGGAACACUUGAAAACUUACCUGACCUUCAGAAACAGAGUCAGAUCUAUGAAAAUAGACAUGGAGUUUUGUUACUCACUGGUCUUUCCUGGGCCUCAUGCUUUUUUUUAGUGCUUGGAGAUGUGCGUAACUCUGGUAAAGAGCAUUACAUUUUACGAGCUCUCAGUGAAGUGUUUGGCCAGGAGGCAUUAGACUACAGUAUGGUCUUAUUUAUGCAUGAAUACAAGGACAGUGAUAUAGGCAGCAACCGAUGUGUGAAAAAGUGCAGGAAAAGGUUCCACAUUUUAAAGAACAAUGAGGAAAAUGUUCUAAAACUAUUCCAUGAUGCUACUGAGACAAUGAUAAAGCAGAGAAAGGGGAGCUUCUUUACGAAGGACUUUGACUUGCUAGACAAAGCUGAAGCUUAUUUUAAGACAGAGUUUGAUGCUAAAUAUGAGGAGCGAGAGAGUAUACUGAGAGGAAAUUUGGCAGAAAUGAAAACAACAGAGGAAAAUCUAAGAACAAAAGUUACAGAAAUGGAAAGAAAGAAUUCUGAAAACAUGAGAGAAUUACAAGAUCUGCAUAAAGAACUGGAUGCUCAUAAAGCCAGAAUAAAUCAGUUAAACAAGGAAUUAGAUGAUUCCCAAAGCAGAGAGAAUCAUUUAAGUCAACAGAUGGAUGCUCUCAAAAAGAAAAAAAUAUGAACUGAAGGAUGAGCUGUAUGCCCUCAGGUAUUACAAGAGACAGUUAGAUGUAGAACUGACUGCUUUCAACGAGAGAGAGAGAGAAAAAAUUCCUGCCCACAAAAAUACAGUUAGAGCAUAACAGAUUACAGGAGCAAAGAGAAGCAGGCCUACAGGCUCCUGCGCAAGAAGAGCAUGACAGACAAAAAACUUUAGAUAAAAGAGAGGUGGAGCUAGAUGAGAGAGAGAAAAAACUGCUGCAGACCACUGGAUCACAGCAUGUUGAUCACAUCUCUACAGCUGUUACUCCCUCUUGUGUCAUAGUGUCUGAAGACAAACCCAAAUCUCAAGAAGACACUGGAUCACCUGAGUCUGAAGGAUUGAAACUUGUGAGACAAGACAGCAAGAAAUUAGCUCCACCUAAUAUGUCUGAAAACAAAGUCGAACCUCAGAGUGAAAGAGAAUGUGAGAUGGAAAGUAGAAUAACAGAUUCACAAACCAGCAGAUCGCUUAAAGGUGAAGUACUGAAACCUGUGAGACGGACAGCAUUCGAGAUCGACCCAGCAUUUUCUGGAGUGAAGAGUGCCAGUAUCCCUCAGAACUGAGUUAGCAUGUAAUGGGAAAUGCUUCAUGUACUCCCACAUGAUAGCAGUGCAUGUAUUUCAUGAGCUGUAAUACAUAUAUUUGUACAUCGCAUAUUUGUACUUUAGUAACUAUAUUAGUAAGCAAAAGCUAAUGUCUGUAACUGGUUUUGAUAUGGUUUUUGAUGUUUUCUCUGAAUAUUUUAUGUGUAUAAGUUCUGUUAAAUCUGGCAUUAACAGGUAUGUUGAUCACAGUUACAAUGAGCAUCUUUUUUUCAUGAAAAAUGUGGUUUAGAGGAGAUUGAACACAAAAUGAAAUUUUAAAAUCCUUGGUGAUUAAUCAUAUCAUCUGAUCACAUGCCUGUGUAACGGUUUUCAUUAUUGUGAAAUAGGAAACCUUGUCUAAAGUACUCCCUUGAAGGUUUUAAACUUUGAACUAAACUGAGCAAUAAUGUAAUCUUUUCUAUAAAGCCUGUAAAGUUUUGUAGGAUUGUACUAUUAACAUGCUAUAGGUAAAUAAAUAAUGGCAUAGGCUUAUUAUUUAACACUAAUAAAUUUUUUUGUUUCAAUCUAUUGUAAACUUAUCUUGCUAUUUUUAGUGCAG